rnacentral:rRNA from 1 species
UAGGGGUGAAAGGCUUGUCAAAUAACCUGAUAGCUUGAUUUUCGGGAAAAACUUUUAGAGUUAAAACAAUAAGUUAGUGAUAAGGCUAACUUAAUAUACAAUUGUAGUAGUAUUUUUAUAAUAAGGUUUAACUAUUAAUUAAGUAAUGAAGUCUACUAUAAAUAACAUAGAUAAUGUAUAAAAUACCGUUAAAAGUCAUUAACUUCUAAUUACUUAUAGAAUGUUGUUAUUAGUAUUAAAUAAAAUUUAUUAAAGGAACUCGGCAAAUAUGCUGGUCAACUGUUUAACAAAAACAUAACCAUAUGGAAUUUAUUUAUGGCGAUUUCUGCUCAAUGAUUAUUAAAUAGCCGCAGUACCCUGACUGUGCAAAGGUAGCAUAAUCAUUUGGCUCAUAAUUGGAGUCUUGUAUGAAUGAAAAUUUGGCUAGCUCCUGUCUUUAAUUAAUUCUAUAGAAUUUGCUCAGUAAGUGAAAAUACUUACACUAUAAUAAAAGACGAGAAGACCCUAGAAAUUUUUAACCAUAGCUAUAAAUUUUUUCUCCGUUUUUGUUGGGGCGACAGAAUAACACUUAACUUAUUUUAGUUGUAUGUAAAGUUUAUAUAAAAUAAAUAUCAAUUACUCUAGGGAUAACAGCAUAAUUUAUUAAAGUUUGUGACCUCGAUGUUGGAUUAAGGUGUAUGUUACUUAAAAGGAAUCAUACCUCGUUCUGUUCGAAC